rnacentral:misc_RNA from 1 species
AUAAGUAUGCUGUGAACAAAG